CCUACGGGUGGCAGCAGUGAGGAAUAUUGGUCAAUGGACGAGAGUCUGAACCAGUCAAGUAGCGUGAAGGAUGACUGCCCUACGGGUUGUAAACUUCUUUUAUCUGGGAAUAAAAUGUUCCACGUGUGGGCUUUUGUAUGUACCCUAUGAAUAAGGCUCGGCUAACUCCGUGCCAGCAGCCGCGGUAAGAAGGAGGAUCCGAGCGUUAUCCGGAGUUAUUGGGUUUAAAGGGAGCGUAGGUGGGUUGUUAAGUCAGUUGUGAAAGUUUGCGGCUCAACCGUAAAAUUGCAGUUGAAACUGGCAGUCGUGAGUACAGUAGAGGUAGGCGGAAUUCGUGGUGUAGCGGUGAAAUGCUUAGAUAUCACGAAGAACUCCGAUUGCGAAGGCAGCUCACUGGACUGCAACUGACACUGAGGCUCGAAAGUGUGGGUAUCAAACAGGAUUAGAUACCCGUGUAGUC
rnacentral:rRNA from 1 species